rnacentral:piRNA from 1 species
UCGCUGUAAGCUCUAAGACAGGC